GACGAACGCUGGCGGCGUGCUUAACACAUGCAAGUCGAACGGAAAGGCCCUGCUUGCAGGGUACUCGAGUGGCGAACGGGUGAGUAACACGUGGGUGAUCUGCCCUGCACUUCGGGAUAAGCUUGGGAAACUGGGUCUAAUACCGGAUAGGACCGCACUUUAGUGUGUGUGGUGGAAAGUUUUUUCGGUGUAGGAUGAGCUCGCGGCCUAUCAGCUUGUUGGUGGGGUAAUGGCCUACCAAGGCGGCGACGGGUAGCCGGCCUGAGAGGGUGUACGGCCACAUUGGGACUGAGAUACGGCCCAGACUCCUACGGGAGGCAGCAGUGGGGAAUAUUGCACAAUGGGCGCAAGCCUGAUGCAGCGACGCCGCGUGGGGGAUGAAGGCCUUCGGGUUGUAAACUCCUUUCGCUGGGGACGAAGCUUUUUGUGACGGUACCUAGAUAAGAAGCACCGGCUAACUACGUG
rnacentral:rRNA from 1 species